AUGUCCACGGUGGUGCGCCAUCUACAGCGACUGCUUCAUCCCCAGCCGCACCGGAUCCAACCUCGCGCUCUUCGACCUCGCCCCGGCCCCCUCCUCCUCCGCCUCCGGAUCUGCCGCUCCCCCCUCACCCUACUGCGUGCUCCUCCGCGCGGCGCUCUUCGGGCCCGACACGCCCGACCGCCUCGCCUCCUCCGCUGGGGCCUCCUCCUCCUCCGCGGCCUCCCCCGUCGGCUCCCCCGCCGGCGGCAACAUAUUCCGCUUCAAGGACGAGGUGCCGAGGAACGCCAAGCGGGCGCUCUUCGCCGGCGGGGACGACCAGGACCUGCUCUUCCUCGGCAUCUUCACCCCCAAGGGCUCCGGCCCCAGGAAGAUCCCCAGGUCGCCCUACAAGGUGCUGGAUGCGCCCGCAUUGCAGGACGACUUCUACCUCAACCUCGUGGAUUGGUCUUCGCACAAUGUCCUCUCGGUCGGAUUGGGGAAUUGCGUCUACCUGUGGAAUGCAUGCAGCAGCAAGGUCACCAAGCUCUGCGAUUUGGGGGCGGACAACACCAUUUGUUCCGUGAGUUGGGCACAUUGUGGCACCCACCUGGCUGUAAGGACUAA
rnacentral:rRNA from 1 species